rnacentral:rRNA from 1 species
CAGGCAGCCCCGGUAAUACGGAGGGUGCAAGCGUUAUCCGGAUUUAUUAGGUUUAAAGGGUUCGCAGGCGGAAUUUUAAGUCAGUGGUGAAAGCCUAUAGCUCAACUAUAGAACUGCCACUGAUACUGAUAUUCUUGAGUGUAGAUGAAGUGGGCGGAAUAUGUCAUGUAGCGGUGAAAUGCAUAGAUAUGACAUGGAACACCAAUUGCGAAGGCAGCUCACUAAACUAUUACUGACGCUCAUGAACGAAAGCAUGGGGAGCGAACAGGAUUAGAUACCCUGGUAGUCCAUGCUGUAAACUAUGAUCACUAGAUGUUGGCGAUAUAUUGUCAGUGUUUAAGAGAAAUCGUUAAGUGAUCCACCUGGGGAGUACGUUCGCAAGAAUGAAACUCACAGGAAUUUGACGG